rnacentral:rRNA from 1 species
UUAAAUUGAAGAGUUUGAUCAUGGCUCAGAUUGAACGCUGGCGGCAGGCCUAACACAUGCAAGUCGAACGGUAACAGGAAGCAGCUUGCUGCUUCGCUGACGAGUGGCGGACGGGUGAGUAAUGUCUGGGAAACUGCCUGAUGGAGGGGGAUAACUACUGGAAACGGUGGCUAAUACCGCAUAACGUCGCAAGACCAAAGAGGGGGACCUUCGGGCCUCUUGCCAUCAGAUGUGCCCAGAUGGGAUUAGCUUGUUGGUGAGGUAACGGCUCACCAAGGCGACGAUCCCUAGCUGGUCUGAGAGGAUGACCAGCCACACUGGAACUGAGACACGGUCCAGACUCCUACGGGAGGCAGCAGUGGGGAAUAUUGCACAAUGGGCGCAAGCCUGAUGCAGCCAUGCCGCGUGUAUGAAGAAGGCCUUCGGGUUGUAAAGUACUUUCAGCGGGGAGGAAGGUGUUGUGGUUAAUAACCGCAGCAAUUGACGUUACCCGCAGAAGAAGCACCGGCUAACUCCGUGCCAGCAGCCGCGGUAAUACGGAGGGUGCAAGCGUUAAUCGGAAUUACUGGGCGUAAAGCGCACGCAGGCGGUCUGUCAAGUCGGAUGUGAAAUCCCCGGGCUCAACCUGGGAACUGCAUUCGAAACUGGCAGGCUUGAGUCUUGUAGAGGGGGGUAGAAUUCCAGGUGUAGCGGUGAAAUGCGUAGAGAUCUGGAGGAAUACCGGUGGCGAAGGCGGCCCCCUGGACAAAGACUGACGCUCAGGUGCGAAAGCGUGGGGAGCAAACAGGAUUAGAUACCCUGGUAGUCCACGCCGUAAACGAUGUCUACUUGGAGGUUGUGCCCUUGAGGCGUGGCUUCCGGAGCUAACGCGUUAAGUAGACCGCCUGGGGAGUACGGCCGCAAGGUUAAAACUCAAAUGAAUUGACGGGGGCCCGCACAAGCGGUGGAGCAUGUGGUUUAAUUCGAUGCAACGCGAAGAACCUUACCUGGUCUUGACAUCCACGGAAGAAUUCAGAGAUGGAUUUGUGCCUUCGGGAACCGUGAGACAGGUGCUGCAUGGCUGUCGUCAGCUCGUGUUGUGAAAUGUUGGGUUAAGUCCCGCAACGAGCGCAACCCUUAUCCUUUGUUGCCAGCGGUCCGGCCGGGAACUCAAAGGAGACUGCCAGUGAUAAACUGGAGGAAGGUGGGGAUGACGUCAAGUCAUCAUGGCCCUUACGACCAGGGCUACACACGUGCUACAAUGGCGCAUACAAAGAGAAGCGACCUCGCGAGAGCAAGCGGACCUCAUAAAGUGCGUCGUAGUCCGGAUUGGAGUCUGCAACUCGACUCCAUGAAGUCGGAAUCGCUAGUAAUCGUGGAUCAGAAUGCCACGGUGAAUACGUUCCCGGGCCUUGUACACACCGCCCGUCACACCAUGGGAGUGGGUUGCAAAAGAAGUAGGUAGCUUAACCUUCGGGAGGGCGCUUACCACUUUGUGAUUCAUGACUGGGGUGAAGUCGUAACAAGGUAACCGUAGGGGAACCUGCGGUUGGAUCACCUCCUUACCU